AGUCUGAGUCCCCAGUGCCUGGCGUGGGUGAGCUCAGGGCUGCUCCGUAUGGGGGCAUCCAGGCCUGGCUGCUGAUGCCCUGUGGCUGAGGACACCUCCAUCUGCAUGAGCCAGUUUGGAAGUCCAGCUUGCCCCCCAGGCAGUGGAGGCCAGAGUCAUUUUGGAUUUGGGCUGACCUGGUAGACUUCUGAAAGACAGUGCUCUGGGUUCAAGUUGUCCUCAGGGCUGGAUGAUCCAUAGCAAAUAUCCCCUGAUGGAUAAGCAUUGUGCUGAGAGACUUGCCUCCAUCAGCUGUGUAAACCUCAGGAUGACCUGCACACAGCUGCCAUGCUGGGAGGAAGCCCAGCAGCCACACAGAGAGGCCACGACAGCCGAGGUCCCAGCCAAGCCAGCAUCAACUGCCCAACACGUCAAUGAGUGAUCCUGCAGAGCCUCCCAUCUCCUAGCCACCGCAGCUGAUGCUCUGAGAGCGGAGGCAAGCUGUCCUUGCUGGGCGCUGCUUAAACUGCAGAUGUAUGAACAAAAUAAAAAUGGUGGUUAUUUUAAGACACUACAUUUUGGGUCUCUAGGUGUUUGGGGGUGGUUUUUCUCUAGCAAUAGGUCCCCAGUCUUGUGCUUUUAGGGUCCUUGUCAAGAAGAAAAGUACAAUGAGGAGGCGAGCCAUGUGCCCCUUAC
rnacentral:lncRNA from 1 species